ensembl:misc_RNA 7SK 7SK RNA
AGAUCUGAGGACAAUGGGUUGUGACUUUGUUACACCACUGAUCAUCUGGGUUGAUUAAGCUGAUCUGGCUGGCAAGGUGAGAGUUGCCUUUCUCACAGCUCUCUGCGUCUCUCCUAAAGCUGUGUGCUUAGUGGAAAAGAAUGACUUUUCCCCAGUAGAGAAGGACCGUUCUUCAGUCUCAUGUAUAGAGUAACCGCUCCUCUAAUAUAAUAGAACCUCCAAAACUCUCAAGGUCCAAAAAUCUUGUAUCCCUGUCCUCUUGACCCACAAGGUUCAGCCGUACUGGCACACUGGCUUUUUUU